rnacentral:rRNA from 1 species
UUGGAGGGCAAGUCUGGUGCCAGCAGCCGCGGUAAUUCCAGCUCCAAUAGCGUAUAUUUAAGUUGUUGCAGUUAAAAAGCUCGUAGUUGAAUUUCGAGAUCAGUACGCUGGUCGUGCCUUCGGUAUGCACUGGUGUCACUGGUUUCUCCCUUCUGAAGAACCGUCAUGUCAUUAAGUUGGUGUGGCGGGGAAUCAGGACUGUUACUUUGAAAAAAUUAGAGUGUUUAAAGCAGGCUCGCGCUUGAAUACAUUAGCAUGGAAUAAUGAAAUAGGACGUUUGACCCUAUUUUGUUGGUUUCUAGGAUCGACGUAAUGAUUAAUAGGGAUAGUUGGGGGCAUUAGUAUUCAAUUGUCAGAGGUGAAAUUCUUGGAUUUAUUGAAGACUAACUACUGCGAAAGCAUUUGCCAAGAAUGUUUUCAUUAAUCAAGAACGAAAGUUAGGGGAUCGAAGACGAUCAGAUACCGUCGUAGUCUUAACCAUAAACUAUGCCGACUAGGGAUCGGAUGAUGUUAAUUUUUUAAUGACUCAUUCGGCGCCUUACGGGAAAC